AAGGGCAUAGUUCUAGCACAGAGCCUCCAAAACCUCCGGUGUGGGUUCGAUUCCUGUUGCCCUUU
rnacentral:tRNA from 2 species